rnacentral:rRNA from 1 species
UGGGGAAUUUUGGACAAUGGGCGAAAGCCUGAUCCAGCAAUGCCGCGUGUGUGAAGAAGGCCUUCGGGUUGUAAAGCACUUUUGUCCGGAAAGAAAUCCUUGGCUCUAAUACAGUCGGGGGAUGACGGUACCGGAAGAAUAAGCACCGGCUAACUACGUGCCAGCAGCCGCGGUAAUACGUAGGGUGCAAGCGUUAAUCGGAAUUACUGGGCGUAAAGCGUGCGCAGGCGGUUUGCUAAGACCGAUGUGAAAUCCCCGGGCUCAACCUGGGAACUGCAUUGGUGACUGGCAGGCUAGAGUAUGGCAGAGGGGGGUAGAAUUCCACGUGUAGCAGUGAAAAUGCGUAGAGAUGUGGAGGAAUACCGAUGGCGAAGGCAGCCCCCUGGGCCAAAUACUGACGCUCAUGCACGAAAGCGUGGGGAGCAAAACAGGAUUAGAUACCCUGGUAGUCCACGCCCUAAAACGAUGUCAACUAGUUGUUGGGGAUUCAUUUCCUUAGUAACGUAGCUAACGCGUGAAGUUGACCGCCUGGGGAGUACGGUCGCAAGAUUAAAAACUUAAAUGAAUUGACGGGGUCAUAGCUGUUUCCU